AUACGGAGGGUGCAAGCGUUGUUCGGAAUCACUGGGCGUAAAGGGCGCGCAGGCGGCUUGGUAAGUCAGAUGUGAAAGCCCACGGCUCAACCGUGGAAGUGCAUUUGAAACUGUCAGACUUGAGUACUAGAGGGGAAAGUGGAAUUCCCGGUGUAGAGGUGAAAUUCGUAGAUAUCGGGAGGAAUACCGGUGGCGAAGGCGACUUUCUGGCUAGAUACUGACGCUGAGGCGCGAAAGCGUGGGGAGCAAACAGGAUUAGAAACCCCAGUAGUCC
rnacentral:rRNA from 1 species